rnacentral:rRNA from 1 species
GAGUUUGAUCCUGGCUCAGGAUGAACGCUGGCGGCGUGCUUAACACAUGCAAGUCGAACGAAGCGAUUAGAAGGAAGUUUUCGGAUGGAAUUCUGAUUGACUGAGUGGCGGACGGGUGAGUAACGCGUGGGUAACCUGCCUCAUACAGGGGGAUAACAGUUAGAAAUGACUGCUAAUACCGCAUAAGCGCACAGGAUUGCAUGAUCCGGUGUGAAAAACUCCGGUGGUAUGAGAUGGACCCGCGUCUGAUUAGCUGGUUGGUGGGGUAACGGCCCACCAAGGCGACGAUCAGUAGCCGACCUGAGAGGGUGACCGGCCACAUUGGGACUGAGACACGGCCCAAACUCCUACGGGAGGCAGCAGUGGGGAAUAUUGCACAAUGGGGGAAACCCUGAUGCAGCAACGCCGCGUGAGUGAAGAAGUAUUUCGGUAUGUAAAGCUCUAUCAGCAGGGAAGAAAAUGACGGUACCUGAGUAAGAAGCCCCGGCUAACUACGUGCCAGCAGCCGCGGUAAUACGUAGGGGGCAAGCGUUAUCCGGAUUUACUGGGUGUAAAGGGAGCGUAGACGGCGAUGCAAGUCUGAAGUGAAAGCCCGGGGCUCAACCCCGGGACUGCUUUGGAAACUGUAUGGCUGGAGUGCUGGAGAGGCAAGCGGAAUUCCUAGU